GAUGAACGCUAGCGGCAGGCCUAACACAUGCAAGUCGAGGGGCAGCAUUUUUAUAGCAAUAUAAAAGAUGGCGACCGGCGCACGGGUGCGUAACGCGUAUGUAACCUACCUUAAACAGGGGGAUAACACCGAGAAAUUGGUACUAAUACCCCAUAAUACUAUUGGAGGCAUCUCCGAUGGUUGAAAGUUCCGGCGGUUUAAGAUGGACAUGCGUUGUAUUAGUUAGUUGGUGAGGUAACGGCUCACCAAGACGACGAUACAUAGGGGGACUGAGAGGUUAACCCCCCACAUUGGUACUGAGACACGGACCAA
rnacentral:rRNA from 1 species